rnacentral:rRNA from 1 species
UACGUAGGGUGCGAGCGUUGUCCGGAAUUACUGGGCGUAAAGAGCUCGUAGGUGGUUUGUCGCGUUGUUCGUGAAAACUCACAGCUUAACUGUGGGCGUGCGGGCGAUACGGGCAGACUGGAGUACUGCAGGGGAGACUGGAAUUCCUGGUGUAGCGGUGGAAUGCGCAGAUAUCAGGAGGAACACCGGUGGCGAAGGCGGGUCUCUGGGCCGAUACUGACGCUGAGGCACGAAGGUCAGGGGAGCAAACGGG